CCCACCCGGCAGCCGGCUGCAGGCCCCGGCGGCUUUCCUGGACUCUGCCCGCUGCGCCUGAUCCAACAGAUUCAAUUCCAGCGUUUCUUGAAUAAGAGUAGAAGAUGAGGAAACUAGGGCACACGGACCAGUGAAUGCCUUGUGGAGAUCCCAUGGCACAAGGGGCAGAGGUGUGAUUCAAACCAACAGUCUGAUUCUAGGGCCCAUCUUUACCUCCACACUCUUACUUUCCC